UUGAGUCAAUCUCGUGCCUAUUAUGUGCUAUUUUAUAAUGAUCAGUUCCGAGGCUAACAGGCACGGUACGAGUAAGGUCGGUCCCGGGGUGUUUCACAUAACAGGCACGGAACUUCUUUCUUCCGAUGUGAGAAGAAUCUCACUUCCAACUUGCCAAUAACAAACUAUCUUACAUUAUCUUGGCUGUUGUACUUCACAGUAAAUUUGAUAUUAUGGAGGACUGUAGUAUCGAUAUUUAACAUUUUCACACCGAUUGAAAUGUCUCAUUUAAGCAUUGCAUUUUUUUGGAUCAUCUCUUUGGAAUCUAGAGCCUAUUAUUUAGGAGAACACAUGGUCUACUUUAAUUACACGCCUUCUUUUUCUUUGUGGGUUACAGAUAUCCAAUCUGGUUCAGAUUUUGUUUCAACGGCCAAAAGACAUUGUUCGGAAGUUGGUAUAAGGUGAUUUAGACCUUGGCAUCAUUGCUGUCGACACAAUCAGUGAAUAUUGUCAAGGGAAUGAAGAUCUCAUCAUUGUCCAUGAUUCCCCUGACUAUGCCCAUUGUCGUUGUGCUUUGCGAUAUUAUUUGCGCUUUUUAAAUGCCGAUGAUAAUUAUAUAACUGGAUUGUCAUUGAAUUUAUGGUUCUAUAUAAUAACAGCAUGUCACAUUAUGAUUGAACUAAUUGUACAUCAUUCUCUACACUUUUUAAAUGUCGGUGAUAAUUAUAUAAUUGGAUUGUCAUUGGAUUUAUGGUUCUAUAAUUGGGAACUUACCAACAGCUUGUCACAUGACGACUGAACUAAUUGUACAACUGUCCAUCUAAAAUACCUAUUCGUGCUGGUGCGGUACAUCUUUCUUUGCCAUAUCUUAUUAUAUGAUCCAAAGAUGAAUUUUUCCAUAGUUAGGUUAUAUUAUUUCCCGAGAAAAGCUGAAAUUCAAUGAAAGAGCUAACAUCUUCACCAUUUCAGAUCCUAUUUUUCACUUGGGGCUAAGUUACAUAUUUACACUGGCUGAAAAUCUGCCUUUAAGAAUCAUUUAGAUGAUGAUUGAAUGUUCUCUCAUGUUUAAAGUGGUUCUCAAUUAAGGAUCUUUGCAAGUGAAAGGUCCUAGCAAGAAUUUGUUGCUGUAUCUUAUAACUAUUCAUAUGCAAAGUGUAUUCAAUUAUUAGAAUCUUAUAAAUGGAAAGGCAUCGUUAAAAUGGAGUUUCUUUUGAUAAAUGUUUUCUUUCUAUUGCUCUUUCUUUUGAGUUGUUUAUUUUGCUGUCAACAAAUUAGUUAUUGUACACUUAUGCUACCAAAUAAAAGUUUAAUCUCUUUGUUGUCUUCUUGCCCAACAGGAAGAAAAUAAAAAAAUAAAGAGAUUGUGCUGGAACAUACAGAAAAUAUAUCAGAAUAUUACCUGAUGGUUUUUAUUAUGCACAGGUGCUACCUUCUAUUUCCGCCAAUUCGGAUGAUUUGUAUUACGGAUAUGUGCUAAGACUUAUUCUACUUUUGCAUUUCUCAUAUCAGCUUGUUGUCUCGGAUAUCAAGCAAAAACAUUCUGCUUCCUAAGAGCACACAAACUAUCCGGGAUGUAAUACAGCUUGUAGAAUUGCAUAUUGAUUUAGAUACUUGCACACUAUCUUUUUGAUGUGCUUCAUUCCUAUUUGACUUUUGAUGCAACUUUAAAGUUAAUCAAUUGUGUUCUUACUUUUGCAACA